rnacentral:rRNA from 1 species
UACGGAGGGAGCUAGCGUUGUUCGGAAUUACUGGGCGUAAAGCGCGCGUAGGUGGUUUGUUAAGUUGGAUGUGAAAUCCCCGGGCUCAACCUGGGAACUGCAUUCAAAACUGACAAGCUAGAGUAUGGUAGAGGGUGGUGGAAUUUCCUGUGUAGCGGUGAAAUGCGUAGAUAUAGGAAGGAACACCAGUGGCGAAGGCGACCACCUGGACUGAUACUGACACUGAGGUGCGAAAGCGUGGGGAGCAAACAGG